UGAUUCUAAGCGCCACAGAAAAAGAACAACACGUGCAGAGGAAACAAGAAUAUCGAAGCAAAAACGUCAUGGAUAAAAUUGUAUUUCAUUUAUUAAAUUUUUUGAAGCAGAUUUUCGUCGAACUUUUUCUUCACUUCGGCUGCAUCUACCGGUGGCAUUUCCAAUUGGGAUUUGUCAUCUACCACAAGCUGAAAAAUUUUAAAUUUAAAAAUUUUCAUAAGUU
ensembl:ncRNA M03E7.6 ncRNA